rnacentral:misc_RNA from 1 species
AAGUCGUAACAAGGUUUCCGUAGGUGAACCUGCGGAAGGAUCAUUACCGAUUUUAGCGAACCUAACCUUUUGGUUAUGGUCUCGCGAAAACUUUGUAUUUAAAACCCCACUCUUAUAAAUUGAAUCAUUCAUUAUUAUGUAUAAUAAAUAAAGAUCACUUUCAACAACGGAUCUCUUGGCUCUC